rnacentral:lncRNA from 1 species
AUGAAUCAGGUUUAUCAAUUGACUCCUUCGGCUUUCCGUUUUCCUCUUGGGGAGGGGUGGGACUUCCGGUUUCAUCUCCGGAAGACGACGAGCCGGAGGAGUCAGUCAGAGGGGCCAGCAGGAGCGAUUCCGUCGGCAAACGGCGCACCGAUGCGCUGCUGCCACCCGCGCCUCCUUCGGUUGAGGAUGCUGGUGCCCGAGAGCACCACGCCUGGAAGUGGACGGUCCUGGCCACUCAGGGUCCAGCUGCUCUCAGCAACUAGCGGGAGACCCCAGGCUGCCGCACGUCGCUGUUGGCAGCAGCGGGAUCGUCCCUGGAGAUACCCACCUCUUCCUAGUGGGCGAGCACGGCCUGAGUGUGCGUGCCCGCUUUCUGGAGCUUAGUCGGGGGGAGGUGGGUGCCAGGAGCUGCUGACCCCUGCGGUUGCGUUGAGUUUUGAAUAGCCUGUUUAUUGGGUUGGGGGGUUCUGGACUAGGACAUCUUGGCAGGGUUGGCAUCUGUGGACACAUAUGUAGGAUUAUUUUCUAGGUAAUCAUAGCCCGAAUGGUGAUUGUGUCGGGACUUUACAGUCCGUGCCGGUGGAACUAGUUACAGUACGCACCUGGUUUGCGGUGAAGCGUUAGUCCAGAUGCAACACUGCCUGGGGAAGGUCACUAACACGUAUUGAUUAGAACAUCGUUAGGAGAGCUCAUUUGAUGUAUACUCUGUAGACUUCAUGUAGCACGGCAGCCGUGUAGGGUCGGAAAUACUAGUCCCUUUUCACAAACUGAGACUAAAGUUAAACAGUUUGACCAAAGUUAAGGUCAGGAUUAGCGUCUCAAGUGUUUGUUACUCAUUGUUUUUCAAGUUUGCUACAUGUAAGGUUACUGACUCCUGCUGGCACGUCUGAAAAACACUGAGGCAAGGCUCUCUAGUAGCUGGUGUCUUCUUGCGUGACAUGUAAGGCAGGUGUGAUUAUUACUGAUAAUACACUGGCUCCUGGUGCCUUUUUUAAAAAACCUGUGUAUUUUGGAAUAAUCUCAGAUUUGCAGAAAAGCUGUGAGAUAGCACAGAGAGUUCCUCUUGUAUUCAGCAAAGCAGAGUGGCUCCACUUGAGCAAACUGCUUCAUGCCAGUCACCAUUCUAGGUGCUGGAGAGAGUAACACGCUGCCCUAGAUGAUUCCAAGGUCUGGUGGAAGAGACAGAUCCAUAAGCAAGUAUAGUGCCUUUUGCUCAGUGCUGAAAUGGAGAAAGGGGAGCACAGAGUGAUUUAUGUCUGACUGCCCGGGAAGGAGUGGCGCGAGCUUGCAGGAUACAGCAUUUGAGUUAGGUCUCAAGGAUUAGUGGGUAUUCACUUGAUUGAUGGGACAUUUCUGCCCACAUUCGUGCUACCUAGGUUUGUGU